UAUGGCUCAGAUUGAACGCUGGCGGCAGGCCUAACACAUGCAAGUCGAGCGGUAGAGAGAAGCUUGCUUCUCUUGAGAGCGGCGGACGGGUGAGUAAUGCCUAGGAAUCUGCCUGGUAGUGGGGGAUAACGUUCGGAAACGAACGCUAAUACCGCAUACGUCCUACGGGAGAAAGCAGGGGACCUUCGGGCCUUGCGCUAUCAGAUGAGCCUAGGUCGGAUUAGCUAGUUGGUGAGGUAAUGGCUCACCAAGGCGACGAUCCGUAACUGGUCUGAGAGGAUGAUCAGUCACACUGGAACUGAGACACGGUCCAGACUCCUACGGGAGGCAGCAGUGGGGAAUAUUGGACAAUGGGCGAAAGCCUGAUCCAGCCAUGCCGCGUGUGUGAAGAAGGUCUUCGGAUUGUAAAGCACUUUAAGUUGGGAGGAAGGGCAUUAACCUAAUACGUUAGUGUUUUGACGUACCGAC
rnacentral:rRNA from 1 species